rnacentral:rRNA from 1 species
UACGUAGGGUGCAAGCGUUGUCCGGAAUUAUUGGGCGUAAAGAGCUCGUAGGCGGUUCGUCGCGUCGGCUGUGAAAACCUGAGGCUCAACCUCAGGCCUGCAGUCGAUACGGGCGGACUUGAGUACUGCAGGGGAGACUGGAAUUCCUGGUGUAGCGGUGAAAUGCGCAGAUAUCAGGAGGAACACCAGUGGCGAAGGCGGCUACCUGGACCGGUUCUGACGCUGAGGCGCGAAAGCGUGGGUAGCAAACAGG